rnacentral:rRNA from 1 species
GUGAGGAAUUUUCCGCAAUGGGCGAAAGCCUGACGGAGCAAUGCCGCGUGAAGGAUGAAGGCCUAUGGGUUGUAAACUUCUUUUCUCAGAAAAGAAUUAUGACGGUAUCUGAGGAAUAAGCAUCGGCUAACUCUGUGCCAGCAGCCGCGGUAAGACAGAGGAUGCAAGCGUUAUCCGGAAUGAUUGGGCGUAAAGCGUCUGUAGGUUGUUUAAAAAGUAUUCUGUCAAAGAUUAGGGCUUAACCCUAGAUAGGCAGAAUAAACUUUUAAGCUAGAGUUUGGUAGAGGCAGAGGGAAUUCCCGGUGGAGCGGUGAAAUGCGUAGAUAUCGGGAGGAACACCAAAGGCGAAGGCGCUCUGCUGGGCCAAUACUAACACUGAGAGACGAAAGCGAGGGGAGCAAAUGGGAUUAGAUACCCGAGUAGUCC